UACGUAGGGGGCAAGCGUUGUCCGGAUUUAUUGGGCGUAAAGAGCUCGUAGGCGGUUUGGUAAGUCUGGUGUGAAAUCUCCACGCUCAACGUGGAGGGGCCACCCGAUACUGCCAUGACUGGAGUCCGGUAGAGGAGUGUGGAAUUCCCGGUGUAGCGGUGAAAUGCGCAGAUAUCGGGAGGAACACCCGUAGCGAAGGCGACUACCUGGCCCAUUCUUGACGCUGAGGCGCGAAAGCUAGGGGAGCGAACGGG
rnacentral:rRNA from 1 species